UCUAAAGAUUUGUAUUAUGUUCUAAAGUUUUCCAUUAUGUUCUAAAGUUUUCCAUUAUGUUCUAAAAUUUUCUCUUAUGUUCUGAAGAUUUGUAUUAUGUUCUAAUAUGUAUCCAUUAUAGUUUAUGUUCAUCUUAUCCCUUUAUAUUUGCACUCUAUUUAAUGUUAGUUGUAUUCUAAUUAUUUUUAAUUGUUUUUAAAGGAAAGUUGAAAACGUUGAAGCGGAAGUAAUUGAUAGAUCGCAAUUUGAGAAGCAUAUUGAAAGUAAAAGUGUUGCUAUAAGACAUAGAAAACUUCCAACAAGGCUUCAACCACCUCGAAAAUUGCAAAAAAAGGAAGGAAGAGAAAAAGAUCAAGAAGAAGGAAAAGAUCAAAAAGAAGAAGAGGGUAAUAAUGUUGAGGAUGAUGACAAGAAUAAUGAUAGUAAAGAUGAUGGUGAGGAUGAUAAUAAGGGUGAUGUAAAGAUGAAAGAGAAAGAUGAAAAAGAGGAGAUGGAAGAUGAUAGUGAGGAGGAACAAAAAAUCAAUAAAAAAAAUCAAACUCAGAAGAAGAAAAGAAAGAUUGAAAAAGAAGAAGAUGGUGAGGAUGUCCAAGUAGUAGAAGCUAAUGAGCAAGAUAAACUAGUUAAGAGGCAACCUUAUCAAAGAGUACCUCCUACUCAAUUCAUGAAGGAUGUGUUGAUAAAUCUUUCGGAAAAACAAAAGCAAGCUAUUCGGAACAUUGGUUUUGGAGGCUUUUUGGAAUUGGAUUUACCAAUCCAUAUUAAUUCUACGUUGACAGAAAACUUGGUUACGAAUUUUGACACGGAGAGAUGUUGUUUGAUGUUACCAAAGAGAAAACAAGAAAUCUUUUUGGAGGCAAUUGAUGUUCAUUUGGCUUAUGGGUUGCCAUUGGGAGGCAAAAGGAUUGAGCAACCAAAUGAUGAGUCAAAUCUGAAAUGGAGCAAGUUUCUAAAAGCUUGGAGAAGCAAGUUUGGCCUCAAAAAAGGAAGUCCAACCAACAAGAGAUUGAUUGACAGAAUUCAAGAAUUGAAGAAGGAAAAAUCAGUUUCUGAUGAAUUUCUUUGGAACUUUGUGGUAUGUGUUGUCAAUUGUUGCAUUCGAUCAACAAACAACCCACAACUAUACAUUAAAUUCUUGUAUAGUUGUAUGGAUGUAAAGAAAAUUGCUGAAUUGGAUUGGUGCACAUUUGUGAUUGAGCACUUGAAAGAUUCUGUAAGUGUAUGGAAGAAGGGAAAUUCUUACUUUGCAGGUCCUUUACCUUUUCUAAUGGUAUUCUAUUUUGAUCGUCUACAAAGAGGAGGGUUAGAAAAACCAAGAAAAUGUCCACUAAUUUCGGUGUGGACAAAGGAAAGGAUUCAAGUGAGAUAUAAGUUUGAAAAAGAUCAUGGAUUUGGAUAUGGAAAACUCUUGGAAAGAAUGGAAUCAAUUGUGAAGGCACCAAAAGGAAAAAAGAAACAACCAAAACAAAAGGAAAAAGAGAAGAGAAUGGAAAAAUCAUCAAUAGGUUCUAGUUCUACAACUUCUCGAAAUGACAUGAUGGUAUGAUUUAGUUUAUAUUGUAAAUUAUAUUUUAUGCUCCAUUUAAUCCUUUUCUGUUAAAUUAUCCAUGUUAUGUCCUUUAUGUUCUAAAAUAUUUUUGUGUUCUAAUGAAGGGUUUUUUGAGCAAAUUUGGAGAUUUGGCAAAAACACUUGCCUCGAAUGUUAAAGAGAUGUAUGGCAUGUUAGAACAAGCAAAAGAUCUUUUUGUUGAGGAAGAAACAACAGGAAAAAUGCAACAUCUCAUAGACAACAUAUGGUGCAAGUACACAACAAAGACAUUCGUGAACCAAGAAGAAAAGAAAAGCCCUUCUAUACUCAGCCAAGAUCAACAUGUCUUCGAUGAACCGGCAUUUAUUGAAGAAUUGGAUAUGGUUAUGUAUAAGGCAUGGAAGAAAUUCGAGGAAACAAGGUCACCAAAGUCACCGACAGUUGGUAAUUUCACAUGUACAUGCUUAAUUUCCAAAUUAUACUUAUGUUCUAUAUUAGAUGCUUAUGUUUUAAAGUACUUUUUUAUGCUCUAAAACAUGCGCUUAAAUCACAUGCUUAUGUUCUAAAUUAUAUGAUUAUGUUCUAAAUUAGUUAUGUUCUAAAUUAGUUAUGUACUAAAUUAGUUAUGUUCUAAUUGUUAAGCAGAUUUGAGAUCAAAGGAAGAGGAAAAAGAUAAGAACAAAGAAGAGAGAAAUGAAGAGAAUAAAGACAAAAACUUGUUGAUUCCCUCACCAGUAGUUGGUAAUUUCACAUUAUUUUCAAAUUUAUUUUUUAUGUACUAAUAUUUACUAGAUAUGUUCUAAUAUUACUUCUUAUGCUCUAAAUUUUUUCUGGUUAUGCUUUAAAGUUAAUUCUUAAUUUUUUAUAUUCUAACUAUUUCUAGGUUGUCUCCUAAUUGUAUAUAUUUCUUAUGUUCUAAAGUUUUUUAUUCCUAUGUUCUAAAUUUUUUCUACCUAUGUUCUAAAGUUUUU